AAAUUGAAGAGUUUGAUCAUGGCUCAGAUUGAACGCUGGCGGCAGGCCUAACACAUGCAAGUCGAACGGUAGCACAGAGAGCUUGCUCUCGGGUGACGAGUGGCGGACGGGUGAGUAAUGUCUGGGAAACUGCCUGAUGGAGGGGGAUAACUACUGGAAACGGUGGCUAAUACCGCAUAACGUCGCAAGACCAAAGAGGGGGACCUUCGGGCCUCUUGCCAUCAGAUGUGCCCAGAUGGGAUU
rnacentral:rRNA from 4 species